rnacentral:rRNA from 1 species
AUUGAACGCUGGCGGCAGGCCUAACACAUGCAAGUCGAACGGUAACAGGAAGAAGCUUGCUUCCUUGCUGACGAGUGGCGGACGGGUGAGUAAUGUCUGGGAAACUGCCUGAUGGAGGGGGAUAACUACUGGAAACGGUAGCUAAUACCGCAUAACGUCGCAAGACCAAAGAGGGGGACCUUCGGGCCUCUUGCCAUCGGAUGUGCCCAGAUGGGAUUAGCUAGUAGGUGGGGUAACGGCUCACCUAGGCGACGAUCCCUAGCUGGUCUGAGAGGAUGACCAGCCACACUGGAACUGAGACACGGUCCAGACUCCUACGGGAGGCAGCAGUGGGGAAUAUUGCACAAUGGGCGCAAGCCUGAUGCAGCCAUGCCGCGUGUAUGAAGAAGGCCUUCGGGUUGUAAAGUACUUUCAGCGGGGAGGAAGGGAGUAAAGUUAAUACCUUUACUCAUUGACGUUACCCGCAGAAGAAGCACCGGCUAACUCCGUG